ACCAACAACAUUUACUAAGGACCUCCUGACAGGCCUGUGUGAAGUAAAGAAGAACAUUUCUUCUUUCUGCUUGACUGUGGGUGUGACUUGCUGCUUCACGUCACCUUGACUUCUCCUCAGUGUUAGACUGCAUCCACGACACAUUACUUAAUGCCAGGGACACAAUUCCUCCACGUGGCGCCGUGAUGCAAUCGAGACAUCAGUGGAGAAGACAAAGGAGGAAAAGAGAAAGUAAAUUCAAGAUGGACGCUGCAUUGAUAAAACAUGCAUUAGUUGCUUUUCUGUUGUGAUAAACACCAUGACCAAAAGCAGCAUACAGUUCCAGAGGGAUAGAGCUUCUAGUGACAGGAAGGGCAUUGCAACAGACAAGACUAGACAGGGCAGAGAGAGCUGGAAGCUGGUCGAUCUUGUGUUCAUCCUCACGAAGGAUGUAUGGGUAAGCAGAAGUGGAGCCAGGCUAUAACCUCCCAAAGCCCACCCUCACUGUCCUACAGGUUCCAUGACCUCCCCAGACAUUUGAUCAUCACCUGGGGAGCAAGUGUUCAAAUAGAUAAGAUGAUGGAGGACAUUCCUCAUUCAAAACACAACCCAUAGUGUUUCACUAUAACUUUUUUUUUUAAUAAGUGGGAGUUCACUGUAAAAUAACAGUAAAUACACAAACUAGCGAUGUUUGUGUAUGUUAUUAUAAAGUAUUCUAUAACUACAAACAAGUAUUAUAUACUAUACAAAAUUGUUUCAUAAUACCUUUGGCCUGCUGGCAUGCUGUAGAUUAAUUUACACCAGUAUUAUGAAGCCAUCAUCAUAAUCAUGGUGGGCUGUAUUAUGUUGCUACUCAUUGCUAGGAGACAGCAAAUGUUCAUCUCUGUGUUAGACUUCUUACUGAUGUGACCAAACCUCUAACACACAGGCCUUUGAGGUGGGGGGGGGGUGUAGGGAGCCGUGGUGAGCAGUGACAGAACUCGCCAUUACAAGAUGGCACUGGCAUCCGGUGCUCCCACAA